rnacentral:rRNA from 1 species
GACGAACGCUGGCGGCGUGCCUAACACAUGCAAGUCGAGCGAAUGAAGUUCCUUCGGGAAGGGAUUUAGCGGCGGACGGGUGAGUAUCACGUGGGCAACCUGCCUCAUAGAGGGGAAUAGCCUUCCGAAAGGGAGAUUAAUACCGCAUAAGAUUGUAGUACCGCAUGGUACAGCAAUUAAAGGAGCAAUCCGCUAUGAGAUGGGCCCGCGGCGCAUUAGCUAGUUGGUGAGGUAACGGCUCACCAAGGCGACGAUGCGUAGCCGACCUGAGAGGGUGAUCGGCCACAUUGGGACUGAGACACGGCCCAGACUCCUACGGGAGGCAGCAGUGGGGAAUAUUGCACAAUGGGGGAAACCCUGAUGCAGCAACGCCGCGUGAGUGAUGACGGCCUUCGGGUUGUAAAGCUCUGUCUUCAGGGACGAUAAUGACGGUACCUGAGGAGGAAGCCACGGCUAACUACGUGCCAGCAGCCGCGGUAA